rnacentral:rRNA from 1 species
UAGGGAAUCUUCCACAAUGGACGCAAGUCUGAUGGAGCAACGCCGCGUGAGUGAAAAAGGUUUUCGGAUCGUAAAGCUCUGUUGUUGGUGAAGAAGGAUAGAGGCAGUAACUGGUCUUUAUUUGACGGUAAUCAACCAGAAAGUCACGGCUAACUACGUGCCAGCAGCCGCGGUAAUACGUAGGUGGCAAGCGUUGUCCGGAUUUAUUGGGCGUAAAGCGAGCGCAGGCGGAAUGAUAAGUCUGAUGUGAAAGCCCACGGCUCAACCGUGGAACUGCAUCGGAAACUGUCAUUCUUGAGUGCAGAAGAGGAGAGUGGAACCCCAUGUGUAGCGGUGGAAUGCGUAGAUAUAUGGAAGAACACCAGUGGCGAAGGCGGCUCUCUGGUCUGCAACUGACGCUGAGGCUCGAAAGCAUGGGUAGCGAACAGGAUUAGAUACCCUGGUAGUCCAUGCCGUAAACGAUGAGCGCUAGGUGUUGGGGACUUUCCGGUCCUCAGUGCCGCAGCAAACGCAUUAAGCGCUCCGCCUGGGGAGUACGACCGCAAGGUUGAAAC